UGUCGUCAGCUCGUGUCGUGAGAUGUUGGGUUAAGUCCCGCAACGAGCGCAACCCACGUUUUUAGUUGCCAGCAUUCAGUUGGGCACUCUAGAAAGACUGCCGGUGACAAACCGGAGGAAGGUGUGGACGACGUCAAGUCAUCAUGCCCCUUACGCCUUGGGCUACACACGUACUACAAUGCUGCGGACAAAGAGUAGCGAUCUUGCGAAAGUUAGCUAAUCUCGUAAACCGUGGCUCAGUUCAGAUCGUAGGCUGCAACUCGCCUACGUGAAGGAGGAAUCGCUAGUAAUCGCAGGUCAGCAUACUGCGGUGAAUACGUUCCCGGGCCUUGUACACACCGCCCGUCACACCAUGGAAGUUGGCCAUGCCCGAAGUCGUUACUCUAACCUUUUUGGAAGAGGGCGCCGAAGGCAGGGCUAAUGACUGGGGUGAAGUCGUAACAAGGUAGCCGUAGCGGAAGCUGCGGCUGGAUCACCUCCUAAC
rnacentral:rRNA from 1 species